rnacentral:rRNA from 1 species
CCCUUAGAUGUUCUGGGCCGCACGCGCGCUACACUGAUGCAUUCAACGAGUGUACCUUGGCCGAGAGGCCUGGGCAAUCUUUUGAACGUGCAUCGUGAUAGGGAUAGAUUAUUGCAAUUAUUAAUCUUGAACGAGGAAUUCCUAGUAAACGCAGUUCAUCAAACUGCAUUGAUUACGUCCCUGCCCUUUGUACACACCGCCCGUCGCUCCUACCGAUUGAGUGGUCCGGUGAGGCUUUGGGAUCUGAGCGGAAAGAGCGUUUCGCUGUUUCUGCUCGGAAAACUCAGUCGAACCUUAUCAUUUAGAGGAAGGAGAAGUCGUAACA